rnacentral:rRNA from 1 species
AGUCGGGGGUGAAAGCCCGCAGCUCAACUGCGGAAGUGCCUUCGAUACUGAUGGACUCGAGGGGGGUAGGGGCAGAUGGAACUUCCAGUGGAGCGGUGAAAUGUGUUGAUAUUGGAAGGAACGCCGGUGGCGAAAGCGAUCUGCUGGACCCCUUCUGACGCUGAGGCGCGAAAGCUAGGGGAGCAAACGGGAUUAGAUACCCCGGUAGUCCUAGCCAUAAACGAUGGGUACUGAGUAGUGGACUUACAUGGGUUCACUGCUGAAGCAAAAGUGGUAAGUACCCCGCCUGGGGAGUAUGGUCGCAAGGCUGAAACUCAGAAGGAAUUGACGGGGGCUCACACAAGCGCUGGAGCAUGUGGCUUAAUUCGAGGCUACGCGAAGAACCUUAUCCUGGGCUUGACAUGCAUUGGACCGGUGAUGAAAGUCACUCUCCCUUCGGGGCCGAUGCACAGGUGCUGCAUGGCUGUCGUCAGCUCGUGUCGUGAGAUGUCGGGUUAAGUCCCAUAACGAGCGAAACCCCUGUCUCCAGUUGCCAGCGCUUCGGGCGGGGACUCUGGACGAGACUGCCGGUGUUAAACUCGGAGGAAGGUGGGGAUGACGUCAAGUCCUCAUGGCCUUUAUGCCCAGGGCUGCACACGUGCUACAAUGGCGUGAACAAAGGGAAGCGAGACCGCGAGGUGGAGCAAAUCCCAAAAAACACGCCCCAGUUCAGAUCGU